CCUGCCUGUGGCCAGGAGUGAUUUUUCCUCUUACACCGAGCAUUUUAAUGCCUCAAACACUGGGUACAAGUGAGAUUCAGGGAGGUCAGGGCUGAAGGGUGCUGGUUGUGUGUUGUGUGUGUUACCUCUCCCACCCCACGCCACUUUUUACGCCAUCGGGGUGAAGUUUGGAUGCCUCCAUGCAGCAGCAGAAUAGAGUAGAAAGAGAAGGGUGCCUGGAUUGCAGCUUUACAGCACCCCUGGAGCACCGAGAUUGAGGCGGAAAGCGAGAAAAAGCCAAAACUGCCCCAAAACGAACCGCUCCCUCCCUGCCUUCACCUCACCCCCCUUCCCCCCAAGCUGCGGCCUUUCUCCUUGCCGCGGGCCGGCCCCUCCCCGCUGCUCAAUAAAGCCCCGCUGCAGCUCCUCCCGCCUCCGCCUCCCUCCCCGCCCGGCCGCCAUGACGGGGCCGCCGCCGGCCGCCAUCCUCAGCCGCUGGGCACGCGAGCAGGCCCGGCUGAAGGGCGGCGUGGUGCGGGAGGACACCGAGGAGUGGCAGAAGGAGCCGAGCUUCGCGGGGCUGCAGAGAGUGGGAGGCGUGGAUUUGUCUUACAUCAAAGGCGACGACUCGAGGGCCUGCGCUUCCCUCGUGGUUCUCAGCUACCCGGGGCUCGAGGUGCUGUAUGAGGACUGCCGGAUGGUGGCCGUGAGUGCCCCGUAUGUGGCAGGAUUCUUGGCCUUCCGAGAGGUCCCUUUCCUGGUGGAAGCUGUUCAGAGACUUCAGCAGGAGGAGCCCGGGCUCAAACCUCAGGUGCUUCUUGUAGAUGGGAAUGGCCUGCUCCAUCACAGAGGGUUUGGUGUGGCCUGUCACCUGGGAGUCCUGACAGAUCUACCAUGCAUUGGAGUGGCCAAGAACCUCCUGCAGGUGGAUGGCUUGGCCAGGGAUGAGCUGCACAGAGAGCAGAUUCGUUCCUUGCAGAGGGAAGGAGAUACAUUCCCACUGACAGGCACUUCAGGGAGUGUCCUUGGUAUGGCCCUGCGUAGCUGCAACAGCUCUAAGCCCCUUUAUAUCUCUGUGGGCCACAGGGUGAGCCUGGAGACAGCCGUGCGCCUCGUCCAGUCCUGCUGCAGGUACCGGAUCCCGGAGCCCAUCCGCCAGGCUGACAUUAGAUCGAGGGAGUAUAUUCGGAAGCAGAUGUGCUCACCAGUGAAGGUCCCGUCUUCUGGGCCAGAGAGGUAGGUGUGUGGGCAGCCCGAGCAGCUGCCUCUCCAAAUGGGAUCUGCUCAUGUAAUGAUCUUCAGUAAUGGCAUUAAAGGGACAGGCCAGGGUAACAAGAGCACCGUGUCCUAGGCUGGGGAAGGUCACUGGGGAUUUGAUCUGUUUCCGGCGCCCGUGAUAAGCAAAGAACUAACGCCCACAGAGAAGAGAAGGCUGAAGUGGAUGAUUAAUCUCAUGCCAGAAGCAACUGCAGGGCCCCUUCUUCACUGAAUGCAAGACUGUGGUUCUGCAGAGUGCAGCAGCUGCGUGCCACCCAUGGGCAGAGCAACACAAGACUGUGUUGGUCGGGACAACACCAGCCACUGUGCACUCCUCUGGUAGACAGGAAAACCAGCCUCUGUUAAGGAUGUUGCUCGGUGUUUAGAGCAUAUUUCUCAUGGUCUGUUUUGAAGCAUUGUAAAUACAUACUUUCACUUGUAA